GUGAUUCUCCUGCCUCAGCCUCCCAAGUAGCUAGGAUUACAGGUUGCUGCAUGAACAGACAAUAGAGGUGAGGCUGGAAGCAGGGGACCACGGAGGAGGCUUCUGCAAGUCUAGCCUGGAGGACCCAGCCUCACCUGUCAUCCCAGAGGCAAUGGAAUUCAUUUAACUGCUCAUCCAACACCAAGCCAGUGCCAGCCAGUGCUUCAGCCUCAAGGUUCAGAUCCUGCAGAGGAAAAAAAAAAAGGACAUACAGAUCCAUUUCAGGCCCUGAGUCAGAGGGAACUGUCCAGGGUUGGGAACCUUUGGGUUUUGAUUGUCAUAGGAGUCUAAACUGCAGCCAGGCCCUGCUCACCAUCCCUUGCAGUCCCGCGAUUAGGUCUUCUUCCAUUGCUUGGC